GUUUGUGGAGACUUGGGAAAAAUUCACAAGAUCGAUAUUGUUUUAACACCGUAAGUCUCCUGCAUAUGGAAAUUGAGUUGAAAUUUUAUUAUGUUUUAGCCUUAUAUUCUCAUCCUCUGACAGCUUUUGAGUAGUUUAUUUCAGCAGUCAGCACCAUCUCACACACACUCUACGUAGGGAAACCGAUGAAUAUAAGUGAGUGUUCCGAAAAAAAAAGAAGAGAAAUAAAUAAAUAAAGGAAUGCACCUUCUAAGUUUGGUGACCCUCACCCGGUCACUUAACUCAACGGUUGUAGAACAUUCAAAAAAAAAAGUUUUUGACUCGUUGUUAGUUGGUUCAGCGGUUUCUGGUGCUGAACUUGGUAGGGCGAAUUACGGUCCGAUCCCCCGCAACUACAAGUGAGUAAGUAAAGGGUUAUGCCAUUUAAGUACCAGAACCCCGUG
rnacentral:lncRNA from 1 species